UAGUCCACGCUGUAAACGAUGGAUACUAGGUGUUGGCUUUUUGUCAGCGCCGCAGCUAACGCAUUAAGUAUCCCGCCUGGGGAGUACGACCGCAAGGUUGAAACUCAAAGGAAUUGACGGGGGCCCGCACAAGCGGUGGAGCAUGUGGUUUAAUUCGAUGCAACGCGAAGAACCUUACCUGGGCUUGAACCGCAGCAGGCAUCCCCUGAAAAGGGGCUUUUCUUCGGAACUGCUGUAGAGGUGCUGCAUGGCUGUCGUCAGCUCGUGCCGUGAGGUGUUGGGUUAAGUCCCGCAACGAGCGCAGCCCUUGCCCUUAGUUGCCAUCAGGUUAUGCUGGGAACUCUAAGGGGACUGCCCCGGAUAACGGGGAGGAAGGUGGGGAUGACGUCAAGUCCUCAUGGCCCCUACGUCCAGGGCUACACACGUG
rnacentral:rRNA from 1 species